ACCAACGGCGAAAGCACUCUGCUGGGCCGACACUGACACUGAGAGACGAAAGCUAGGGGAGCAAAUGGGAUUAGAGACCCCAGUAGUCCUAGCCGUAAACGAUGGAUACUAGGUGCUGUGCGACUCGACCCGUGCAGUGCUGUAGCUAACGCGUUAAGUAUCCCGCCUGGGGAGUACGUUCGCAAGAAUGAAACUCAAAGGAAUUGACGGGGGCCCGCACAAGCGGUGGAGCAUGUGGUUUCUACCUAUUACUUCUUUCUUCUUUAUAGGCAGUAGCGACGAGAUCAAUUAAAGUAAAGUGGGUAUAACUUGAAUUUGUGGAGACUAUACGUACGUGAGAUACAUUAGGAAUAGAAAAAGAUUUUCUUUUUGAAUGAAUGAAAGCGCUCUUAGUUCAGUUCGGUAGAACGCGGGUCUCCAAAACCCGAU
rnacentral:rRNA from 1 species